AAAGGUGUGACGUCAAAUCCUCAUGCUGAGAAAAGAAUCGCCACUGAAUUUUCACAAUUUUCAUCCAAUAUACUUGCAAAAAUGGACGAAAUGCAACCUCCAGAUCUACGUAUUCAGAGGGACUCUCAACAACAUGACAUGUACGAAGAGAAAAAUCAAAGGUAAGUAAAGGGAUAUCAAAAGGGCAGAGCGGAUUUACCGCAAGAUCUGGUUGUAACAGAACAGUUUUUCAG